CUACGGGCUGCUCCAGUGAGGAAUAUUGCACAAUGGGGGGAGCCCUGAUGCAGCAACGCCGCGUGGAGGAUGACGCAUUUCGGUGUGUAAACUCCUUUUAUAUGUCAAGAAAAUGACGGUAGCAUAUGAAUAAGCACCGGCUAACUCCGUGCCAGCAGCCGCGGUAAUACGGAGGGUGCAAGCGUUACUCGGAAUCACUGGGCGUAAAGGACGCGUAGGCGGGUUGGAAAGUCAGGUGUGAAAUCCUACAGCUUAACUGUAGAACUGCACUUGAAACUUCUAAUCUAGAGUAUGGGAGGGGGAGAUGGAAUUAGUGGUGUAGGGGUAAAAUCCGUAGAUAUCACUAGGAAUACCUAAAGCGAAGGCGAUCUCCUGGAACAUUACUGACGCUAAGGCGUGAAAGCGUGGGGAGCAAACAGGAUUAGAUACCCUUGUAGUC
rnacentral:rRNA from 1 species